UGUUUGGGAAUGCAGCUCUAAUUUGGUGGUAAGUCCCAUCUAAGACUAAAUACUGGCGAGAGACCGAUAGCGAGCAAGUACCGUGAGGGAAAGAUGAAAAGAACUUUGAAAAGAGAGUUAAAAAGUGCUUGAAAUUGUAGAGGGGGAAGUCAUUAACGGCUGUGGGUGCACCCGGGCUCAAAGUACCUUAACGGGUACCUGAAAGUGCCGGGAGCUGGUCAGCAUGGGUUCAGCCUGGGAGAUAAACCUUUCUGUGUCGAAAGUCUAUGUCCCGGGUGGGAUCGAGGAACGAAUGUUGCUUUGCCUUCGAGCUGCAACAUCAAGAUGCUGGCGGAAGGCUGUUAAUGAGCCCGUCUUGAAACACGGACC
rnacentral:rRNA from 1 species